GAGCGAGCCAGCGGAGCAGCCUUCCGUCCGUCAGGGCCCUCGCGGGUCAGGCUGGACACCCUGGAGAGGGUGCCGAUGUACCUGAGUCUCCUGCCAUGGGACAGAAGGGAUAUUCUGUGACCACUGAGACCAUAGGGCGGCCCAGCAGGGUCUGCACAGUCUACUUGAAGAUAAAGCCUCCAAGGUUUUCUACAAUCUCUUCUCGAUCUACUUUUUGAUCUCACCUCCUUGUACUUUUCAAAAGUGCAUGAAAUCAGAAUAGGCUGAUCUGCCCUGUCCAUAGAUGCUCUGCUCAGAUAGGUUAAUGGCCAAUGACUCCCUGGCACCAUCUGCAGUGAACUGUGAAAGCGCAAACUCGGCCUUGACCACCUGACAGCCUCACUGUCACUCAGAGCGCCCACGGGGGCCCCAGACACACUCUCGCCGUUAAGAAGCCCUGUCCAAGAACCUUGCCACAUACAUCCCCUGUCAAGAAGUGGAGUCUGGGGCUUCCCUGGUGGUGCAGUGGUUAAGAAUCCGCCUGCCAAUGUAGGGAACACGGGUUCUAGCCCUGGUUUGGGAAGAUCCCACAUGCUGCAGAGCAACUGAGCCCAUGCGCCACAACUACUGAGCCUGUGAGCCACAACUACUGAGCCCGUGUGCCACAACUACUGAAACCCACAUACCUAGAGCUUCAAGAGAAGCCACCGCAAUGAGAAGCCCGCGCACUGCAAUGAAG